rnacentral:rRNA from 1 species
UACGUGGGGUGCGAGCGUUAAUCGGAAUUACUGGGCGUAAAGCGUGCGCAGGCGGUUCGUUAAGUCAGAUGUGAAAGCCCCGGGCUCAACUGGGGAGGGUCACGCGAUACUGAUCGACUCGAAGGCAGGAGAGGGUAGUGGAAUUCCCGGUGUAGUGGUGAAAUGCGUAGAUAUCGGGAGGAACACCAGUGGCGAAGGCGACUACCUGGCCUGUUCUUGACGCUGAGGCGCGAAAGCUAGGGGAGCAAACGGG